AUUUUAAGUACGAUCCCUACCUUUACAUUUUAGGUACGGUACCUACCUUUACAUUUUAGGUACAAUCCCUACCUUUACAUUUUAGGUAUGAUCCCUACCUUUCAUUUUAGGUAUGAUCCCUGCCUUUAAAUUUUAAGUUCAAUCCUUACCUUUACAUUUUAUGUAUGAUCCCUAUCUUUACAUUUUUAGUACGAUCCCUACCUUUACAUUUUAGGUACGGUACCUACCUUUAAAUUUUAGGUACGGUACCUACCUUUAUUUUAGGAACGACCCCUACCUUUACAUUUUAGGAACGAUCCAUAUCUUAACAUUUUAGGUACGGUACCUACCUUGACAUUUUAGGUACGAUCCAUACCUUUACAUUUUAGGUACGAUCCCUACCUUUACAUUUUAAGUACGAUCCCUAACUUUACAUUUUAGGUACGGUACCUACAUUUACAUUUUAGGUACGAUCCAUACCUUUUCAUUUUGUGUAGGAUCCCUACCUUUACAUUUUAGGUACGAUCCCUACCUUUACAUUUUGGGUAGGAUCCCUACCUUUUCAUUUUGUGUACGAUCCAUACCUUUACAUUUUAGGUACCGUACCUACCUUUACAUUUUAGGUACGGUACCUACCUUUACAUUUUAGGUACGGUACCUACCUUCACAUUUUAGGUACGGUACCUACCUUCACAUUUUAGGUACUGUACCUACCUUCACAUUUUAGGUACGGUACCUACCUUUACAUUUUAGGUACGGUACCUACCUUUACAUUUUAGGUACGAGCCCUACCUUUACAUUUUAGGUACGAUCCCUACCGUUACAUUUUAAGUACGAUCCAUACCUUUAUAUUUCAGGUACGAUCCCAACCUUUACAUUUUAGGUACGGUACCUACCUUCACAUUUUAGGUACGAUCCCUACCUUAACAUUUUAGGUACGGUACCUACCUUUACAUUUUAGGUACGAUCCCUACCUCCACAUUUUAGGUACGGUACCUACCUUUACAUUUUAAGUACGAUACCUACCUUCACAUUUUAGGUACGAUACCUACCUUCACAUUUUAGGUACGGUACCUACCUUUACAUUUUAGGUACGGUACCUACCUUCACAUUUUAGGUACUAUCCCUACCUUCACAUUUUAGGUACGGUACCUACCUUCACAUUUUAGGUACGGUACCUACCUUUACAUUUUAGUUACGUUACCUACCUUGACAUUUUAGGUACGAUACCUACCUUCACAUUUUAGGUACGAUCCAUACCUUUACAUUUUAGGUACUGUACCUACCUUGACAUUUUAGGUACGGUACCUACCUUCACAUUUUAGGUACUGUACCUACCUUGACAUUUUAGGUACGAUCCCUACCUUUACCCUUUAGGUACGAUACCUAAUUGUACAUGUUAAGUAUGAUAUCUGCUUGUUUAUUAUAUGAAGGAUCCACAUCCAUUCGUGAUCCGUACGUUGUUCGCAUAGGUGGUAUUCCUACCCCUAUGCGAGUUCCGUAAUUAUGCGUUAAGGCAGUCGAUUUUAUAUAUCUAUAUACAUAUGUAUAUAUUUUAAUAUUAGCAUGUUGUACAUAUGAAAUAUAUGCAUUGUAUCUUAUCGUGUUGAUUAGAUGUAUUAUAAACAAUAAACAACGUAAAAAAAAUGGUGUACUACCUACAAUUUGAUAAUAAACGGAUUUCAAGAAAACAU